AUGGUGGCAGCAGCUAUGGUGUCUGGAGGACAAGGAAAAAUAGGAAGUUCCCUGGUCCAGGCAAUGCUGACUCAGCCAUCUUCAGUGUCAGCGAACACGGGACAAACUGUCCAGAUCACCUGCUCCGGGAUUAGCAGCAGCAGCAAUGAAGUUGGCUGGUUCCAGCAGAAGGUUCCUGGCACUGCCCCUAUCACUGUGAUCUAUGCUAACGACAAGAGACCCUCGGGCAUCCCUCCGCGAUUCUCCGGAUCCAAAUCUGGCUCCACAGGCACCUUAACCAUCACUGGGGUCCAAGCCGAGGACGAGGCUGUCUAUUACUGUGGUAGUGCAGACAGCAGCAGUGCUGAUCUCAGGGUGACACUGAGCCACGGGCAAGUGAGAUCUUGA